UCCAUCACCAUGGGGAGGACUACGACCAACGCAACCACCACGACCUCCACGGAAGCCAAAAUAACCAGAUGAAGAGGCCAAUACCUUUUUAUCAGCUGCAUUAACCUAAGACUUGUCAAAUUCAUUUGUCAGGGAGACUCUUUGAAGUCUUGCAUAUACCUCUACCACUGAAGUAGUGGAAACUCCUUUCAAAAUCUAAUCCUUUGUUGAUUGAUAUUCCUUAGGCAAUCCAGACAAAAGGUUUACUAACUUCAUAUCUUUCCACUGCUUCUUCAUAAGGGUGACAUCUGAGUCAACAUGAUGAUAUAUGGCUAGUUCUUCCCACAUUCCAGUCAACUUUGUGAAAUAUUCACCAAGGGGCUUGUCCUCCUUUUGAAAAGAAAAUAUUUCCUCAUACAAUUGAUACACUUGAGAAACGUUCUGUUCCGUGGAAUACAUCUUCCUUAUAGUAUACCAAAUGUCCUUUGCUGUGCUUAAGAAGACCAAAUUACAACUCACCUUAGAUUCCAUACUAUUCCAUAACCAAGAGCGAAUUUGCUCGUCCUCAUGCAUCCAUCGUCUGUAUUUUGGAUCAGAUUCCGUUGGCUUAAGAUCCGUGAGGAACUGAUCCUUUUCGCGGGCUAAGAGAAACACAAAAGUUUGGCCAUUUGGCCCACAGAAGGUAAUUCUUUCCAUUCAGCUUCACAAAAGAUAUUGAUGCAUUGAAGGAGGAUCCAGACAUUUCCUCAAGAGAUGAGGAGCCAACAACUGUACUUUUGGGCUCCAUAGAUAUACCAGAACUAGCUUGCUUCAAAGCCAAAAGAGAAAUGCUGACCGAGAAGAGAUCCACACAUAACUAUACCUUCACAAUAAAAUAACAUGAAGAUUGCUGGCCCAUUAUCACCUUAAUUGACAUCAAUACCAAACCCACAUCGCAUAUGACUUAACGGGAGAGAAUAUUCUAUCAAAAGAACUGCUUCCACCUAACUCAACAAUCUUAAACAAACGAUUUUAACAUAACCUUAUGAGAAAUCAGCAAGCUUUUAUAAUUCAACAAGGCAUGUAAGCUCAUUUUUGUGAGUGUUUCCUUCUACUAGAGGAACAAUGCAGAAAUCAACCUGUUUUUUUUCACAAACGGACGAUGAAAUGUGCUCCCCUUUGCAGUCCGAUCAGCCCCUGACGUGUUGGAAGGCCCUUAUGAAAAAAGAUCCAGUAACUUCGGUUUGAUCGGGAUGAAUUACGGAGUCCAAACCACUUCUAGGAUAGCUUUGAUACCAUGUAAGUUGGUAUAGAAAAGAGAAAAGUAGAAGAAAGGAUGAAAAGAAGAGAA